AUCCGGAUGACGGGUCCCAAAUAGGAUGAAAUGCGCGUUUUGCUGGAU
rnacentral:hammerhead_ribozyme from 1 species